GGCUCCGUAGCUUGGAGGAAAGAAGCGCCCGUCUAGUGAACUGGGAGUCGUGGGUUCGAUUCCCACCGGAACAC
rnacentral:tRNA from 1 species